rnacentral:rRNA from 1 species
UACGUAGGGUGCGAGCGUUGUCCGGAAUUACUGGGCGUAAAGAGCUCGUAGGUGGUUUGUCGCGUUGUUCGUGAAAACCUGAGGCUUAACCUUGGGCGUGCGGGCGAUACGGGCAGACUGGAGUACUAGCAGGGGAGACUGGAAUUCCUGGUGUAGCGGUGGAAUGCGCAGAUAUCAGGAGGAACACCGAUGGCGAAGGCAGGUCUCUGGGCAUUAACUGACGCUGAGGAGCGAAAGCAUGGGGAGCGAACAGG